rnacentral:tRNA from 1 species
GCCUUCGUGGUGUAAUUGAAAGCACACUUGGCCCGUGUUCGAGAGAUCCAGGGUUCGAGUCUCGGCGAGGGCA